AUGAACUCAGGACUCAAAUUGGUUUUCUUUGUCCUUAUUCUAAAAGGUGUCCAGUGUGAGGUGCAGCUGGGGGAGUCUGGUGGAGGCUUAGUACAGCCUGGAAAGUCCCUGAAACUCUCCUGUGAGGCCUCUGGAUUCACCUUCAGUAGCUAUGGCAUGGACUGGGUCCGCCAAUCUCCAGGGAAGGGGCUGGAGUGGGUCGCAUACAUUAGUAGUCGUAGUAGUAAUAUCUAUUAUGCCAACGCUGUGAAGGGCCGAUUCACCAUCUCCAGAGACAAUGCCAAGAACACACUGUUCCUACAAAUGAACAGUGUGAAAUCUGAGGACACUGCCACAUAUUACUGUGCAAGAGACACAGUGAGUGAAAGCUGCUGUGAGCUCAGACACAAACCACCCUGCAGGAUGCUCAUGACCAGCAGGGGGCGCAAAGAGCACAGGUUCUCUGGGUCACAGAAGAGCCUGUAG